UUGGGAAAUGAUUUAUAUAAGAAGAACAAAAUUUUCUGCCUACAUUUUAUUUGUGAAAGCCAAGACUUUACAAUGAAAGCAAUUUUUGCUCUUUUCGUGAUUGUCGCCAUCAUUGGAAUGGCAAUGGCUGGUGUGCACCAUUACAAAAUUAAAGGUAGCGGUGGAGACCAUG